rnacentral:lncRNA from 1 species
GUAUAGGCUUGGGGGUUUACCUUUGGCUAUUCAGUGCUGGUUCUAUGAGUGCUGCACCUAUGUUGAUGGCAAGUGGGCUCACCGGAUUGACAACAAAGUGCCCCGUAUUCUUAAUUGGAGAAUUCAGAGGCAACCGACCUUAAACAAGUUGUCUAGUGGGAUCUUCAAGAUGAGUGGGCACAAGGUAAAUUGCAAAGUCAAUAUGCAUAAUCCGUACCGUAUUCUUAAUUGGAAAAUUUGGAGGCAACCGACCUUGAACGGGUUGUCUAGUGGGAUCUUCAAGAUGAGUGGGCACAAGGUAAAUUGCAAAGUCAAUAUGCAUAAUCUG